rnacentral:rRNA from 1 species
CUGGGGAAACCCAGGCUAAUACCGCAUACGUCCUACGGGAGAAAGGGGGCUUCGGCUCCCGCUAUUGGAUGAGCCUAUGUCGGAUUAGCUAGUUGGUGAGGUAAAGGCUCACCAAGGCAACGAUCCGUAGCUGGUCUGAGAGGAUGAUCAGCCACAUCGGGACUGAGACACGGCCCGAACUCCUACGGGAGGCAGCAGUGGGGAAUAUUGGACAAUGGGGGCAACCCUGAUCCAGCCAUGCCGCGUGUGUGAAGAAGGCCUUCGGGUUGUAAAGCACUUUCAGCGAGGAAGAACGCCUAGUGGUUAAUACCCAUUAGGAAAGACAUCACUCGCAGAAGAAGCACCGGCUAACUCCGUGCCAGCAGCCGCGGUAAUACGGAGGGUGCAAGCGUUAAUCGGAAUUACUGGGCGUAAAGCGCGCGUAGGUGGCUUGAUAAGCCGGUUGUGAAAGCCCCGGGCUCAACCUGGGAACGGCAUCCGGAACUGUCAAGCUAGAGUGCAGGAGAGGAAGGUAGAAUUCCCGGUGUAGCGGUGAAAUGCGUAGAGAUCGGGAGGAAUACCAGUGGCGAAGGCGGCCUUCUGGACUGACACUGACACUGAGGUGCGAAAGCGUGGGUAGCAAACAGGAUUAGAUACCCUGGUAGUCCACGCCGUAAACGAUGUCGACCAGCCGUUGGGUGCCUAGCGCACUUUGUGGCGAAGUUAACGCGAUAAGUCGACCGCCUGGGGAGUACGGCCGCAAGGUUAAAACUCAAAUGAAUUGACGGGGGCCCGCACAAGCGGUGGAGCAUGUGGUUUAAUUCGAUGCAACGCGAAGAACCUUACCUACUCUUGACAUCCUGCGAACUUGUGAGAGAUCACUUGGUGCCUUCGGGAACGCAGAGACAGGUGCUGCAUGGCUGUCGUCAGCUCGUGUUGUGAAAUGUUGGGUUAAGUCCCGUAACGAGCGCAACCCUUGUCCUUAUUUGCCAGCACGUAAUGGUGGGAACUCUAAGGAGACUGCCGGUGACAAACCGGAGGAAGGUGGGGACGACGUCAAGUCAUCAUGGCCCUUACGAGUAGGGCUACACACGUGCUACAAUGGCCGGUACAAAGGGUUGCCAACUCGCGAGAGUGAGCUAAUCCCGAAAAGCCGGUCUCAGUCCGGAUCGGAGUCUGCAACUCGACUCCGUGAAGUCGGAAUCGCUAGUAAUCGUGAAUCAGAAUGUCACGGUGAAUACGUUCCCGGGCCUUGUACACACCGCCCGU